rnacentral:lncRNA from 10 species
UUCAGUCCUGUCCCUGCUCGCCUGUUCCCUUUCCCAUACACACACACCCGGGAGUGUGAAGGAGCAAGUGCCGACAGCUACAACCGCGAUUCAGAGGUUCUUGAAAGGGUUGCUGUUGUUUCUGGACAGUCAUCCUGGGCGGCUGUCCCCAGGCCAGCGAGGCCGACUGCUUAGCCUGCAGCCUGGGCCGCACUCCUGAGACACUCUGCCCCCAUCUGACUGGCCACGUGCCCUCUCGCUCCUCAGUGGCAAAGGAGGAAGAGGCAGUGAGAUGGCAAAUAGGCAAGGCCACCAUCAGUCAUUGUCGUCACUGUCACCAUCGUCUUGCAGAUCAGCCACAAUCCUGCCUGCACAGAACAGAAAAUAGUUGGAGAAAUCUAAGGUUGAAAACAACAUAUGUUCUCUAUAUUAAAACGUCAAGAGCUGUACUGAGGAAGUUUGUGGAGUGGGUGGUAGUGACAGAGACAUACUCAGGAAGGCUGGACCCAUGGAGGCUGCCCACCUUGUUCAUUGAUUUCUACUUGAUUGAUUCCUUCUUGAUUGAUUUCCAGGAUCUCUGAAACGAGAAGCCCUCCCCUUUAUAUGUUUAAUCAGAUAUUGCAAAGUGGACCUGAGAACGAGCCCGUCGGAAGCAGAUUAUGAAGGGGCCUAUGUUUUGAAUAUGCUGAACUGCUUUGGUUUGUGACUGGGGAAGAUUAAAGGCCUACAACAAAAAUGAGUGCUGGAUAUUGCUGACAAGAGAGGCUUCCUGUAAUUUCUCAGGCCAUAAGUAUUUAGUGAGUAUUUACAAGGUGUGGGUUAUUUUCAGAAACUCUUAGACCAAGAGACUCAGGAACUGGUAUGUCCCCAGGGACACUGGUAUCCCUGUCUCGCUUACUGGAGUGUCUCAUACAGGGACUGGCACAUAAAUACAGAAACGCUAUACAUAAACGCUAGUUAAAUGAAGGCACAGGUGAACAAAUGAGUGAACGAAUGAUCAAGCGAAUCUACUCGUUCAGUCCCUCAGGCUUUGUAACCCCAGUAACCAAGAACGAUGCCUGCCAUGAAUUAGGCAAUCAAUAAAGGUUUGGUUCCAUGAGUUAAUAAAUCCAAUCAAGCAUUAGUAACUUACCCAAGUAUUCUGUUUGACUAUUAAAAAUUUUCCAAUGUAGUUGCUAAUAAUUGUCAUACUCUUU